CGCUCCCGCCCCACCCCCUCCCCCCGCAGCCGUCCCGGAGGGGGAGGGGCGAGUGGGGGCUGAGGGCGGGCGGCGCGCGGGGGGCGGGGCGGGGCGGUGCCAUGGCGACGGCGCGGGGGUGGCCGGCGCGGCGGGCGGGUCCAGGUAGGCUCCCCGGAGGCCCGGGCUGGCGGGAAGCUGGGCGUGGAGGGGACGGGGGGGGCCUGCGCCGCGACCCCGCCGCGCUGCCGUUGUUCCCAGGCGAUUGCUGUUUCGCGGCUCGGCGAUGCAGACCACGUAAAGGACGACGGAAAACGUCUCCCUGCUGGCGCCGGUUCUGUAACGUAUUGAGCGCUCACGUUCUGAAAAAAACCUUUGGACCCUCUUCUACCUCCGCCGAGAAAGCCCAUCUGGAAGGAAACUCUAAACAGCUUCCAGUGUCACUUGGCUGACAUCACAGCCGACCCGAGAGAGGCAGGAAGAAGUUGUACUUCUACUGAAGAAAAUGCUUUCGUAGCAGGAAUUGAACUGGGUACCUGUUAUUUUCAACCUCAGCCAAAAGCUUGUUUGUUGUACUGAUUAGAAGACUAUUUUGCAAAGGGCCCAAAAUGCUGCACCCCAAAGAUGUAAUUAAAUGCCGAUGGGCACACGGAGUAAAUAUCGAAAGUAAACCUGUCAUCUGUGGAGAACUAAAGACCUUUCAAAUGAAUGGAGGAUGUUCGUACUUUUGAAUGUGAAUUAUGCCUGCCCCUUCUCCAGUCUUGUGGAUUCCUAGUGUCUACAGUGGAAAGAUCUGAGACUCUACAUCAAAGGACAUUAAUACCGCCCACCAAUAUGAGGACAUGAAACCAAUCACCAGUCCAGAAGACGUUUAGUACAGAGGUUCAAGCCUAUGGUUCUACUCUCGGCUCUGUCCCUACCCAACCUUGUGACCCUCCUAGGAAAUCACUUACCCUCUCUGUAACUCAGUGUCCCUCAUCUGCAAAAUAGAGAUACCACUUACCACGAA